CAAAUUCUAACAACAUCUAAGAAAACAAAUUCCUUCGAGGUUAAACUUGGGGUGCCAGGAACACCACCUAUCCUGAAGGAAAGCAUGGAACUAAGAAGACACAGAUGAAUAAGACCUGGUCCCUACCUUCAAGGCCUCCACAAAUUAAUGGGUGAGACCAACAGAAAAUGAAUCAAAGCACGAGUGUGAUUUCAGCCAAACAGUCUCAAAGCUCUCCUGACCAUCCAAGCUCGAGAAGAAUCUCCCCACCAACACCUUGUGCCUCUCACCUAAUUUUGUUUUGCACUGUGAUCACACUUCCUGCAGUUGGUGCUGACCCGUUUACUACCGGGCUCCAG